UACGUAGGGUGCAAGCGUUAAUCGGAAUUACUGGGCGUAAAGCGUGCGCAGGCGGUUUUGUAAGUCUGUCGUGAAAUCCCCGGGCUCAACCUGGGAAUUGCGAUGGAGACUGCAAGGCUAGAAUCUGGCAGAGGGGGGUAGAAUUCCACGUGUAGCAGUGAAAUGCGUAGAGAUGUGGAGGAACACCGAUGGCGAAGGCAGCCCCCUGGGUCAAGAUUGGACGC
rnacentral:rRNA from 1 species